UGAUGGUGAUGAUGAUGAUGACGACGAUGAUGAUGAUGGUGAUGAUGAAUCAGACGGGUUACUUAAACGGGUGGCCGAUACCAGUUUUCUCCAAGACUUCCUCAUGUCGCAGGAGAACGAACCAGUCACGACUUCCGGUCAUCGCCAUCAUCAUCACCAUCAUCAUCACCAUCAUCA
rnacentral:pre_miRNA from 1 species